rnacentral:rRNA from 1 species
AGCAGCCGCGGUAAUUCCAGCUCCAAUAGCGUAUAUUAAAGUUGUUGCAGUUAAAAAGCUCGUAGUUGAAUUUCGGGGUCAGUAGGUUGGUCGUGCCACGGGUAUGUACUGGUCUUACUGAUUCCUCCUUCCUGAUGAACCGUAAUGCCAUUAAUUUGGUGUUGCGGGGAAUCUGGACUGUUACUUUGAAAAAAUUAGAGUGUUUAAAGCAGGCUAACGCUUGAAUACAUUGGCAUGGAAUAAUGAAAUAGGACGAUCGAUCCUAUUUCGUGGUUUCUAGGAUUGACGUAAUGAUUAAUAGGGAUAGUUGGGGGCAUUAGUAUUCAAUUGUCAGAGGUGAAAUUCUUGGAUUUAUUGAAGACUAACUACUGCGAAAGCAUUUGCCAAGGAUGUUUUCAUUAAUCAAGAACGAAAGUUAGGGGAUCGAAGACGAUCAGAUACCGUCGUAGU